GGUGAAAUGCUAAAAUAGACGAAAUAUGAGCACAAUUAGCUGCAAAACGCCCGAGGGCAAGGAUUUUGAGGCGGCCCACGCAACAGUGGGACAAAAAUAGAAACACACGGGCGGUUUUUGGUUGAACUGAACGAAAAACAAGUAA
ensembl:ncRNA ZC581.12 ncRNA